rnacentral:snRNA from 2 species
AGCUUUGCGCAGUGGCAGUAUCAUAGCCAAUGAGGUUUAUCUGAGGCGUGAUUAUUGCUAAUUAACUUUUCCCAAAAUAAUAUUUUCUGUCGUUUGAAUGAAAUCUGUGAAAACCAGUCUUAUUUCCAAAUGC